ACAGCAUGAGCAUGAGGGUUCGAGCGUGAGGGUUCGAGCGUGAGGGUUCGAGCGUGAGGGUUCGAGCGUGAGGGUUCGAGCGUGAGGGUUCGAGCGUGAGGGUUCGAGCGUGAGAGUUCGAGCGUGAGGGUUCGAGCGUGAGGGUUCGAGUGUGAGGGUUCGAGCGUGAGAGUUGGAGCGUGAGGGUUCGGGCGUGAGAGUUCGAGUGUGAGGGUUCGAGCGUGAGGGUUCGAGCGUGAGGGUUCGAGUGUGAGGGUUCGAGCGUGAGAGUUGGAGCGUGAGGGUUCGGGCGUGAGAGUUCGAGUGUGAGGGUUCGAGCGUGAGGGUUUGAAGGAUACAAAGGAAACGCAGCACUAAAAUGUAACUGUGAUGUAACAAAUUAACAGUAGUUUCUUUUCUGUAAUUAACCGUUAUAGGAGGCGGAGCUUUGAUGAAGUAAUUCCCACAGGAAUAUUUCCUAAUAAAUCUCCAUGUGAACUCCAGCACAUGUGUGUGUUAAUAUACAGAGCUCUUGUUAUAAUUAAGGUUUUGUCAGAAGUAUAUGAACAUUUAGGUUCAGAUGGAAUAACACUGGAUCCCUAAAGAGCUGUUUUUACUCAGAAACAAGGAAUAAAUACUAAUUACCAAAAUAUGUUGUGAACUCUGCCUGAGUCUGCAAAAUCUUUUCAUUAUAUUAAAGAAGCUCGUCAACAAAAACAUCUGGAAAUGUGACUCGUUCACAGCAUCAGCUCUACUCCACACAGCAUCACACACUCCUCAGGGUUCUUCAUAUUCACAUUCUCGUCUUCGCCUCACUGAUCAACAGGUGCUGCGCUAACAGAGAAAUGUGUUGCUAUGGGAACUGGCUCAAAGAGAAAAGCGUGGAACAAAGGACGAAACCACUGCGGACACAGAGGGGGGUUCUGCUUAAGCGUUUCGCGCCAAAACACGGAUAAACUCGGAUUACAUGAGAUUAAAGAUCGGUGAUUAUCGCCCCGCCCAUACGGAGAGUCGCGGCGCUCUGUUACUAUGGAGACGGACGUCCUCGUGCAGUGUGUAACGGCACAGAGUUCGGGUAAAACCUAUCGGGUGUGACGUCAUCGUCGUUUUUCAACAAUAUGUUUUUUAGAAAACAUCAAUAUAUAUAAAUAUAAUGUAAAUCCCUGCACAAUGCACGUGUUCACAUGCUGUGCUAUUUUAUAUGCUGCCUAAAGCAUACACACACACACACACACACACACACACACACACAUACACACACACACACACUCACACACACAC